ensembl:lncRNA
UUUCAAAUGGGCUCCAACUUUGAGCAUUGCCAGCUCUGCUGAAGGUGCGGUCUGAUGUCCUGCUGAGCAGUCCCUGUUACAGCUGAUAGAAGAUGAGUAUGUCAGAGUGCAGCCUAAGCAGCCACAGAAAGCUGGAAGAAAUGCACGUGUGGAAGCUGAAUGAACAACUACAGAUCUCUGAUGGAGGCUUUUCCUGCUGGAACUGCAGCAUCCAGGCAAAGCAAACAGGAAAGCAGCUGUGAGGAUUCCUGAGUGCUUUUGAACAGAGGUGUCAUUCCUGUGGUUGCCAAAUAAUGUGUAUUUUAAGUCGUUGAUGAAGUUGAUGCUUUUAAGUGUAAAAUUGGGUUUCUAAUAAGUAGAAAUGACAAAUGAGCUUGUGAUUCUACGCUUGGGGAAAAAUAAUUUUGCAGAGUUCGCUUGUCCUUGGCUUGUAGAACAACCAGUAAGGUUGUGUUGAGUUCAUUGCAAGUAAUUUGAAGCAGACUUUUAGCAGCAGGAAUACAUGGUGACCAUCCUGUAGAGCAGAGGGGCUGCUGUUGUUGUGUGAAGGCAUUCCCUGACACUCACAUCUGUGCUGCAUCCUUCCUAGAGUUUGGAGCAUAACAAUGUUUCUGUGCAGAUACUGUGGUUUAAUCAGGGGCACGUAUAUGAUGAGUGUAAAUCUGUACUUUGCCUCACUUAUGCGUGUUUCGUGAUAGUCGUGCAGAAAAUAAAUUGCACUGUGUCAGACUUUGUGCUGCUAAUCAGAAGGGGAGGCAAUUUGUGCUGAAUUUCAAGCAGCUACAGUUGUGACUUCCCACCUUGCUGACUGCAGAGUUGACUGAGCCAUUUCUGUUAGCAAAGGAUGACAAACAUUCUAAUAGCGUGACUUCUUAAAGCAUAGCAGCUUUAAUUGCAAGCUAACAUACUUCAACCUUAAUUGCCAAGUAGACUCUUGAAUUUUUCUUUCUUUAAGUUAAUUUCUGAACUGUAAAAUUAAUUUUAUGUAUUAUGUAUGUAUAAUUUUCUGAACCAGCUGUGUUAAGUUUAUCAAGUCUUGGAAUGUUGAAACAAUCCACCUUCCUGCUACCGAAGCACGGAGCCGAAGUGUUGGCCUGCUCUGCUCAGCAAGGACUGAAGCUUGGUAGGGUCCUUGGGCCACCCCGAAUUAAGAGCCGUGAUGCUCUCCAUAGAGCUCACACCAUCUGCUGUAAAAGAAACAGAAAAUGUCUGACAAGCUUUUCAUCCUGUCCCUGUCAGGUCGUACAGAUGGGUUACUCCUUUCAGACACACGCAGGAAUUCCUCCAGUGCCAGGACUUCUCUGGACUGUGAUUUAUGAUGUUUUUAUUAUUAUUUAUAUUUUAAUUAAUAACAUUCAUAGCAGCACAACUCGAGAGGAAUUGCCUGAGGGCAUCGAAUACACGGAUGUAAGAUUUCAUUGCCCUUUUUAACUACUGGGCUAAGGCACGGCCUGCUAAAAAAGUGCAGCUGAUGUUGACCAAAGCUGUUUGAUUUUGAUUGUUGCUGCAAUGUCUUUCUGCAUACGGGCAACUUCUAAGCUGCCUCAUUGCAGUUGCUUCUAAAUAUCAAAAUGCUUCUGGCUGUUCCUGUUGUGACAAAUAACGUCCCAAACUUGUUGUACAGUUCAUUGUGCUUUCUGGCUACAGUAUGGAGAUCUUUUUGACCUUUCCCUGUAAAUGUCUUGUUGGAUUUGCUGCCUUUUUACCCUUUUUUCAGAAUAUGGGCUGGCACUUUGGAAUUGAUAGAAAUUACAACACCUGCAAAUAAUUUUUGAUAAAAUAUCAGCACCUUCACUCUCAUCACUUAAAAGACGUGGAGAUAUAAAGUAGGUAAAAGUUCUAGCAGUGCCUUCGAUAGAAAAUACAUCAACUUGAGUCAGCUCAGAGCAAACUACGAGAGGGGUUAAAUUGUGUAACAGAUGAGGAAAGGAAUGCUUUACCAUUAAUGCCAAAAUAGCAAACGUUUACUUCUGACAAGCUGACAGACCAGAGGACUGAAACUUAAUGAAUCUUAAUGCUUUCUGUCAUGUACUUCAAUUUUCUCAAAUUAUUUCUCCAAUUAGUUCUAGCCUUUGUGAAGGAAUGACUAAUGAUAAUUAAUACAUUAUUAUCA